UUGCAGCAAGAGGGUUGGUGAUCUUUUGAAUUUUGCUACCAAAAGCAGUUUAGGAAACUACAUGUGGAAGAUGAUAAGGUGGUUCGGGAAUUUGUCUUGGGUGUAUAUGAUGAAGAGGCCACUGCGGCUUUCAACCAGAAUCUCUCCGACAUCUCCACAUUAAAAGAUCAUCGAUCAAAAGAUGCAUCACAAUUCACAAAGGUAUCACACUCGUCAAUAUUCGAAUGGAACCCUAUGUGAUCUUACUAAUCAGCCCCGAGAAACUGAGGUGAGAUUUGUCUGCUCAGAGCCGAGAGCAAUGAUUAGUUCCAUUACAGAGUUAUCCACAUGCAAGUAUGCACGUACUGUUCAAAGCCCUAUGCUAUGCAAACACCCG